UGUAUAGAUUUAUGACUUUGUAAUUGUAUUCGCGGGUCGUGGGGAGCGCCACUGUGUCAAUCCUCGUGGAUUUCCCAAGAUCCGUGAUCACAGUUACUACUUUAUCGUCAUGCCUUUC
rnacentral:precursor_RNA from 10 species